rnacentral:rRNA from 1 species
GACGAACGCUGGCGGCGUGCUUAACACAUGCAAGUCGAACGGAAAGGCCCUGCUUGCAGGGUACUCGAGUGGCGAACGGGUGAGUAACACGUGGGUGAUCUGCCCUGCACUUCGGGAUAAGCCUGGGAAACUGGGUCUAAUACCGGAUAGGAGCCAUUUUUAGUGUGAAGGUUGGAAAGUUUUUUCGGUGUAGGAUGAGCUCGCGGCCUAUCAGCUUGUUGGUGGGGUAAUGGCCUACCAAGGCGGCGACGGGUAGCCGGCCUGAGAGGGUGGACGGCCACAUUGGGACUGAGAUACGGCCCAGACUCCUACGGGAGGCAGCAGUGGGGAAUAUUGCACAAUGGGCGCAAGCCUGAUGCAGCGACGCCGCGUGGGGGAUGACGGCCUUCGGGUUGUAAACUCCUUUCGCUAGGGACGAAGCUUUUUGUGACGGUACCUAGAUAAGAAGCACCGGCUAACUACGUG